AUUGAACGCUGGCGGCAGGCCUAACACAUGCAAGUCGAACGGAGUGGCGGACGGGUGAGUAAUGUCUGGGAAAAUGCCUGAUGGAGGGGGAUAACGUCCGGAAACGGGCGCUAAUACCGCAUACUAUCAGAUGAGCCUAGGUCGGAUUAGCUAGUUGGUGGGGUACAGGCCUACCAAGGAGACGAUCCGUAACUGGUCUGAGAGGCUGAUCAGGAAGACUGGAACUGAGACACGGUCCAGACUCCUACGGGAGGCAGCAGUGGGGAAGAGUGGACAAUUGGCGAAAGCCGUAUCCAGCCAUUCCGCUUGUGUGAAGAAGGUCUUCGGAUUGUAAAGCACUUUAAGUUGGGAGGCGUUACCAACAGAAUAAGCACCGGCUAACUUCGUGCCAGCAGCCGCGGUAAUUC
rnacentral:rRNA from 1 species